GGAGCCGGGCGGGGACCCCGCGGGGGGCCCGGGGGAGCGGCGGCGUUGGGGCGGGGGCGCGAGUGCCGCGGGAUGUGGAUGCCUCGUCUUUGGUCCCCACUGGGAGACGAGCGGGCCGCGCAUCUCUCCGGGGCUCUGCGGCCAACGCUGUCUUUAGAGCCGGGGGAGGGGAGUGGCGGGGGUCGUGCUGCGGGCGACGACUCCGGACCCUCUCCCAGCCCCACCCCUCCUCGGGCCUGGCGGGCGAGGGCAGCCUGCGGAGUAUUGGGCCGUCUGUCUUUCUGUCUGGCGACGGUCUGCUCCACGAUGGCGGGGGAGGGGGGAAAGGGAGGGGCGUGCACGCUCGGUGUGAGUUUUUAAACAUUUAUUUUCUCUCCCCUUUCUUUGGGGGCACUCUCCCCUUUAGGAUCUGGCCUGGACUUAGGCUACGAGAACUUGUUGACAAGUGAAAGCUUGGUAGAACCGCGGCCCGGUUUGUGUGUUUGUUUAUUUUUUACAAAGUGACUUCAUAUUUACUCUGGACCUCGUCUGUGCCCUUUGGGGGGACAUCGGCUCUGAUCAGCGCGCCAGCAGCCGCCGUCCGAGCUGCGGGGAAACGGGGCGCGCCCUCUGGGGGGCGAGUGGCAGUGUCCGAGCUAAUUUCCUCCGUAACCUUUAAACUCUCGCUGGAAGCCGUGGCGGCGGUUGAUCACGUGAGGCGAGCUCUGGGCUGCUGGGGAAGAAUUUCCUCCGCGGGGAGCCGGGGACGGGGACGGCUGCCUGGCGAGGGACGGCCCCGCGCCAGGGGACGCGAACCUGGGCGGGCGGGGCCGAGAGCGCGGAGGCCCGGGGCGCGGCCCGGGCCGGACUCCCCGGGGGACUGCGCUGGAAGAGGUCGUCUCUGCAACCUGCGAGCGGGGGUUCGUGCAAAUGGAAAAAGAAAACCUCGGUCCUCACUCGUGUACCAAUCAAGGCAGGCAGUUUGUAGCGACCGUGGUCUUUGAAGAUAUAAUGAAGUUCAAGAUCUUGAGAAGAGAUCAUUCUGGAUCACCCGGGUGGGCUAAAUCCAAAGACAAUACAAUGAAUAUACAGUGAAGCAGAUGGAGAUGGACACAGACACAGAGGAGAAGGCGAUGUAAAGACAGAGGCGAAGAUUGGAGUGAUGAGGCCACAAGCCAAGGAAGCCAAAGAAUGUCGACAGCCCCCAGAAGCUGGAAGAGACUAGGAAAGGUUCUCCCCUGGAGCCUCCACAGAGAAUGAGGUCCUGUUGACGUCUUGACUUCAGACUUCUGGCCUCCAGAACUGCAGCAGAAGAAUGUCUUUGGACUACCUGGAAAGGAGCAAUCAGCCCUCUGAUAAAAUGGGUCUGGGCUAACUGUUUUUGAAGAAAUGCCGCUCUGAAUAUGAAAUGACACAGAGCUUUAAUAUGGCUCGCUGGAGACCUGAGCUGCUCAGUUGCCCUGGGACCACAGAUCACUUGGAAAUGAAAAGAUAAUGAGAGUAGUUGCCCACUUCAGGCUUUGGGACUUGUUUCAACCAAGGUCUGGUGACUAGUACAGGUAUGAGCCAAAAGUCUGUUUGAAAAAGGAGGCAGUGCUGUUGACUUUUCCUGUUCCACUUCCCCCAUGCUUCCAAUCCAUCCUCCCCCAGCCUGCAGAGCACACUACCCUGGCAAAGGUAUACUCACCCUGUUUGAACUGGGCCCUUAGCUUUCAGGGCAGCUUAACCAGGAACAAACCAGAGUCUCUUUUUCCCUCCAAUCCUUAUAAGAAAUUUCCCAAUGAGCACCAGGUAAGCUUUUAAGAGAAAAAGGUUAAGCUAACCAUAAGAAAUAUAAGUUUUUAAACCCCUAAUUUGCUGGUUAUUGUCACCAAUUUCUCUCCUGCACCCCACAGUUUAGGAAAAUCAUGCUUCCUUCUCACUGCCUCCUAUGUCCCUUAGGAGAUACUUUCUCUCUUACAGGAAAGGAAACUGUCCAACUGUCCAAUUUUCAAGUUAAGCAACCUCAUACUUGUUCCUUCAGUUAAUAAGCUUGGUUA